AGUCGAGCGGGGAAAGUAGCUUGCUACUUAACUUAGCGGCGGACGGGUGAGUAAUACUUAGGAAUCUGCCUAUUAGUGGGGGACAACAUUUCGAAAGGAAUGCUAAUACCGCAUACGUCCUACGGGAGAAAGCAGGGGAUCACUUGUGACCUUGCGCUAAUAGAUGAGCCUAAGUCGGAUUAGCUAGUUGGUGGGGUAAAGGCCUACCAAGGCGACGAUCUGUAGCGGGUCUGAGAGGAUGAUCCGCCACACUGGGACUGAGACACGGCCCAGACUCCUACGGGAGGCAGCAGUGGGGAAUAUUGGACAAUGGGGGGAACCCUGAUCCAGCCAUGCCGCGUGUGUGAAGAAGGCCUUUUGGUUGUAAAGCACUUUAAGCGAGGAGGAGGCUACUCUAGUUAAUACCUAGGGAUAGUGGACGUUACUCGCAGAAUAAGCACCGGCUAACUCUGUGCCAGCAGCCGCGGUAAUACAGAGGGUGCGAGCGUUAAUCGGAUUUACUGGGCGUAAAGCGUGCGUAGGUGGCCAAUUAAGUCAAAUGUGAAAUCCCCGAGCUUAACUUGGGAAUUGCAUUCGAUACUGGUUGGCUAGAGUAUGGGAGAGGAUGGUAGAAUUCCAGGUGUAGCGGUGAAAUGCGUAGAGAUCUGGAGGAAUACCGAUGGCGAAGGCAGCCAUCUGGCCUAAUACUGACACUGAGGUACGAAAGCAUGGGGAGCAAACAGGAUUAGAUACCCUGGUAGUCCAUGCCGUAAACGAUGUCUACUAGCCGUUGGGGUCUUUGAGACUUUAGUGGCGCAGCUAACGCGAUAAGUAGACCGCCUGGGGAGUACGGUCGCAAGACUAAAACUCAAAUGAAUUGACGGGG
rnacentral:rRNA from 1 species